AUAAACCCCAUCGCAUUUAGCAAGACUUGCAACAAAAACUUUCCAAUGAAAUCCCAAGCCUUUACCAUAGGAUAUAAUCAAAUCUUAGAAAAUAGAAUUUAUACUUUAAAUAGAAGGCAUUUGAAGUGGUAUCCAUACAAUUUUCAUCUGCAGAAAGGCCUCCGAAGGAGCAUGACAUAAUCAACUAGAUAGCCACAACUCCGGAUGAAAUACGAUCAAAUUGCUUUUUUUUUCUCAAUUUAAUAUAUCUAAAUCAUAUAUAAAGUGGAUAUUCUAAAGUAACAAAUAACUCAUGCAAAAUUGCAAGGGCCAAAAAAAUUAAAUCAGACGGCUCUUCUCCUUUUGUGUUUAUGAGUAUUGUCACUAUCCCUCUGACCUUUAAGAGCUCUCCUUGGUGCCUCAACAGAGAAAGACUUUAGCGGGUCUCUACUUCGCUUAAAUUUGCUCCUGGAUCCCUGACGGCGAGCGGAGUUAUUGUUUCCCAUUGCAGCUCUAGCAAGUUUGACCAUUUUGCUCGCUUCCUUAGUUGUUGGGUCCAGCAGGUAGUCAGGCACAUCACGUAGGUGAGGAGCAGGGGGCUUCUUGCUCAGAACCUUGUCAUGUUUCAAUAGAUCUAAGUCCCUUGGAUUAGCUUUAAAAUGAGCCUUCAACUUCUCAGAAUUGAGUAUUUCAUUCCUCAAAUCCUGAGCUCGUGCUUCCCUGACAGCAACCUUUGUCACACUCUUUGCAGUAUCCUCAGCUCUAUAUCGUAAAGACUCCACUGCAUUCUUAGUGAGUAAAGGAAAAGGAGCAAUUAAGUUUGAAUCCUUGCUCUCAUCAUCCCCUAAAAAGGAUUUUAUAUCUUCAAGAAUUGCCAUCUCAUCUGUAGAAACUAGAGAGACAGAAGCACCAGUGCUAUAUCCUCUUCCAGUACGGCCAAUUCGGUGUACAUAUCCCGCAGCACUCAGAGGCAUAUCAUAAUUUAUAACCGUGUGUACAUUUUUAAAGUCAAUGCCCCUUACGACUCCAAAUUCAGAGUCCAAUCUUUGCUUAGCAUGUCUUUUAGAUUUUCUUGACUCAGCAAGACUCCCACCAGCUUGUUCCUUCUCUUUUGUUUCAUUGUCAUCAGUUGCUAUUAAAUAAUCAAAAAGCCCCGCAUUGAAUUCCUCAAGUAUGUGAAGACGAGAAUUCUGUGGCAACUCAGCAUUUAGAACAGCAGAUUUUAUUCCAAACUGUCAAAAGAUAAACAAGACUAUCAAAAAUGAGAUGCAAAAUAAAUAAAUAAACAAAGAGCACAAUUGUGACACGGUUAGAGUACUGAAGCAUGUUAGCAUUAUUACAAUUACAGAUCAACUUGAAGAACAUCAGUGAACAUAAAAUGCUAAAACAGAAAUUCUCUAGCAUACACAGAUACCGCUUAGAAUACACACAACAUUAAUUGAUAUGCAGUUUAGGAAAUGGUUUCCAGAUCAAUUUAACAGUUUGUCCACCUUAACAACCACUAUUAACAGAAAAACCAACCAUAACUGAAAGUAGCUUGAAGCAUCCACUUAAUGAGCAACUUCUAAAAUCAGUUGGUACAGAUCUAAUAGGAUAUAGAAGCAUUUAUACAGCUUCUAGAAGACUAGGUAGAACUAGUGUGGGAAGUAUCAUAGAUCCAGCCCUUUGUCUAAACACAAUCCAAUGCCUCAUGUCAUAGAUUCAGCUAUUUGCUUAUACAAUGUUCAACAUCUUGAUAGGAAACAACUUCCUAACUCUUAAGCAACAGAAAGAGUAAAAGCCAAGUAUUUUGGAUAAUUUCAUUGAUGCUUUGUAAAGUAGCCAGAACACCUUUUCCAAAAACAGCUUCAGCCUGAAACUCAUGUCAAUGGAAUUAGUAAAUAUCAGAACUUUUUUCUGAACCAGCUCCAGCUUCAAAAGGGCAAGAAUGUGGAGUAACUUGUCCUGAUUACUGCAUGAAAUCCAAAACUGCUGAACAUUUUUGGGGAUAGCUUCAUCCUUUACACCUUCCACUUCUGGCAAAGUCAAAAUGUAUGGAUUAUGUAGAAUGAGCUUCUUCAGUUUAUCAACAUCAGCGCUUGAUGUAGCUGACAUAAGAAGGCAUUGACAACGUCUAGGGACAAAAGCUGUAAGAGCUUUUAGAUCAUCUUCAUAGCCAAAUGACAAUAAAAGAUCUGCCUCGUCAAGAACAAGAAUUUCAAGUGAAUCAUUUAUAGAUGAUGAUUGAAGUGCACCAGCUGACAAGCACUUAGCUACACAAGCAGGAGUUGUUACAAUAACAUCAGGAGGUCCAGCCAAUGCAGUACGCAAAUCAGAAACACCCAUUUUGGUCGUCAACUGUACAGCUUUCAACUGAACUUUACACGAAUCAAUAAGGGAUGAGACCUCUUUAUGAACCUGCUGACACAAUUCCCCACUUGGGACGAGAAUGAAUGCAGAUGGGGCAAGCUUUCUACUGGAACCAGAACUUGCGAACAACUUUUGAAGUAGAGGAAGCAAGUAAGCCAAUGUCUUCCCUGAGCCUGUCUUUGCUCUGGCAACCACAUCCUUCCCUUCGAGUAUUAGAGGAAUAGCGACUCGCUGGAUUGGGGUUGGCUUUGUAACACUAAUUUCCUUCUUGUUUAAAGCUCGAAUUAAACGAGGGUCAAGCCCAAGCUGUUCAAAGGUCUGCUCUUCUUCUUCUUCCUCAGAUUCCUCUUUUAUUUCUUCUUUCUGUUUGGCCUCUUGUGCUGGUUUGUCUUCAGUUUUAGCCAUUGACAUCCCUAACGAGAGACAGAUAAAGAUGCUAUGGCUCAAAAUGUAGGGUUUUGAAAAGGGUUUUGAGGUUACAGAUAGAUUUGGAAUGUGAAACAGUGAAGAAGAGCGAAAAUG
rnacentral:misc_RNA from 1 species